rnacentral:rRNA from 1 species
UACGGAGGGUGCAAGCAUUACUCGGAUUUAUUGGGCGUAAAGGGCGCGUAGGCGGGAAGGAAAGUUGGAUGUGAAAUCCCGAGGCUCAACCUCGGACCCGCAUCCAAAACUCCCUUUCUAGAGGAUGAGCGGAGAAAAUGGAAUUCCACAUGUAGCGGUGAAAUGCGUAGAUAUGUGGAGGAACACCGGUGGCGAAAGCGAUUUUCUAGCUUAGACCUGACGCUGAGGCGCGAAAGUAAGGGGAGCAAACAGG